rnacentral:tRNA from 1 species
GGAGAGGUGGCCGAGUGGCUGAAGGCAGCCGCCUGCUAAGCGGUUAAUCGGGGUCAACCCGAUUCGAGGGUUCGAAUCCCUCCCUCUCCGC